GACGAACGCUGGCGGCGUGCUUAACACAUGCAAGUCGAACGGAAAGGCCCUGCUUGCAGGGUGCUCGAGUGGCGAACGGGUGAGUCACACGUGGGUGAUCUGCCCCUUACUUUGGGAUAAGCCUGGGAAACUGGGUCUAAUACUGGAUAGGACCAUGCUGUAGGUGGUGUGGUGGAACGAUUAGUUUCGGUAAGGGAUGAGCUCGCGGCCUCUCAGCUUGUUGGUGGGGUAUUGGCUUACCAGGGUGUCGACGGGUAGCCGGCCUGAGAGGGUGGGCGGCCACAUUGGCACUGUGGGACGGCGAAAACGCCUACGCGCGGCAGGGGUGGAGAAGAGGGGACAAUUGGCGCAAGCGUGAUGGAGUGACGCAGCGUGGGGGAGGGCGGCCUGAGGGUUGUAGACUUCUUAAAGCCAUUACGAAGCCAUGGUAGUGACAGUAGUGGGAGAAGAAGCUCCGGCUAACUACGUG
rnacentral:rRNA from 1 species